rnacentral:misc_RNA from 1 species
GGGAACUAGGCGUUCUUGAUAUUUUAGCGUAACUGGAGGAAGAAAAGGAGAAAAAAAAAAAAAAUCUUGCAGGAAGAGGAUAAAGGAAGAAAGAAAGUAAUAGAGGGCUCACCCCAUCGAUUUUUCUGUGCCGAACAACCAAGUGCAAUUUCAAUGACUGCAAGUUCAACGGCUGUCUCAAGCUCUUUCUUGAUGAGCGUUCCUCAAAUUCGUGCAUGUUUCAGUCCUAGGGACGACAGUUAUUCAAGAAGCCGGUGGCAGCGGCCCAUCCCUAUACGGCCAACGCUGCUUUAUGCUCCUCCUUUGUCUCAACUCCAUCCUAACUCUCUGUCUAUCUUUUACCCACAAAGAUGGCCACAUGAAGUUGCUAAUGGAGGAUCAGGUUCUUGUAGAAGAAAGAAGAAUAGUGCGUUGAAAGUUGUUAGCUCCUUGCUUUGUGAAACACAGGCUGAUGCUUCUUUUUCACAGCAAUAUAAUUGCAUUACCUGCUCACUUAACCACCGUCGAAAGCAUUCUAGGAUCCCAAGAUCUAUUUCAGGAGUUUUUAUUGACAAAUCCACUUUUCAUUUGCCUUACAAUUCAUUUGAUGCUGCUUCUGUGAGCCGUGUUCAUGUUCCAUAUGCGUCUGUUGGUCCAAAUGAACCACAUGCAGCAAGUACUGCCUGUCCAGAUGGUAUUCUUGAGAGACAAGAUUCAGAUUUGUUAUAUCCUGAUCGUGAAUUAGUAACAGGAUUAGCUGAAUUUUUAAAUGCUGAACUUCCAUCUCACCCAAAGUUGUGUCGAGGGCAAUUGAAGAAUGGUCUUCGUUAUCUCAUAUUGCCAAAUAAAGUUCCACCAAACAGGUUUGAAGCACACAUGGAAGUCCAUGUAGGAUCAAUAGAUGAGGAAGAUGAUGAGCAAGGAAUUGCACAUAUGAUUGAACAUGUUGCAUUCCUUGGAAGCAAGAAACGUGAGAAACUUCUUGGGACAGGUGCCAGAUCUAAUGCUUACACUGAUUUCCACCAUACUGUUUUCCACAUCCAUUCCCCGACUACUACAAAGGAUGCUGAUGAUGAUAUACUUCCAUCUGUACUGGAUGCCUUGAAUGAGAUAGCUUUCCACCCAAAAUUCCUUUCCUCUCGAGUAGAAAAGGAACGACGUGCUAUUCUUUCAGAAUUGCAGAUGAUGAAUACAAUAGAAUAUCGUGUAGAUUGCCAGUUAUUACAACAUCUACAUUCUGAAAACAAGCUGAGCAAAAGGUUCCCAAUUGGAUUAGAAGAGCAAAUUAAGAAGUGGGAUGCAGAUAAAAUUAGGAAAUUCCAUGAACGCUGGUACUUCCCUGCAAAUGCGACCUUAUACAUUGUUGGCGACAUUGAUAGCAUCUCAAAGACGGUUCAUCAGAUUGACACUGUCUUUGGACAGACUGGUCUUGAGAAUGAGACAACUUCUGCACCUACUCCUAGUGCAUUUGGUGCAAUGGCUAGUUUUCUUGUCCCUAAGCUCUCAGUUGGGCUCUCUGGAAGUUCAUCUCCUGAAAAAUCAUCUAGUUCUAUAGAUCAAUCUAAAAUACUGAAAAAGGAAAGGCAUGCAGUUCGUCCCCCAGUGCAGCAUAAUUGGUCUCUCCCUGGACACAAUGUACAUAUGAAGCCACCACAGAUUUUUCAGCAUGAGUUGCUUCAGAAUUUCUCAAUUAAUAUGUUCUGUAAGAUUCCAGUGAGCAAGGUCCGAACAUAUGGUGACUUGCGUAAUGUUUUGAUGAAGAGAAUAUUUCUAUCUGCAUUGCAUUUUCGCAUUAAUACACGAUACAAGAGUUCAAAUCCGCCAUUCACCUCUAUUGAAUUGGAUCAUAGUGAUUCUGGAAGAGAAGGAUGCACUGUCACAACUCUCACAGUAACUGCAGAGCCCAAGAAUUGGCAGAGUGCAAUUAAAGUUGCCGUUCAAGAGGUUCGAAGGCUUAAAGAAUUUGGUGUCACUAAGGGUGAAUUAACUCGCUACAUGGACGCACUUCUAAAAGAUAGUGAACAUCUUGCAGCUAUGAUUGAUAAUGUGUCUUCUGUUGACAAUUUGGAAUUUAUUAUGGAGAGUGAUGCAUUGGGCCAUACUGUGAUGGAUCAGAGACAAGGCCAUCAGAGUUUGGUUGCUGUCGCUGGGACAGUCACUCUUGAAGAGGUUAAUUCUAUUGGUGCCAAGGUAUUAGAAUUUAUCUCAGAUUUUGGAAAACCCACUGCACCACUUCCCGCAGCAAUUGUUGCGUGUGUUCCAAAUAAAGUGCAUAUUGAUGGACUGGGCGAAACUGAGUUCAAGAUAUCUCCAAGUGAGAUCACUGCUGCCAUGAGAUCAGGAUUGGAGGAACCAAUUGAGGCUGAGCCAGAGCUCGAAGUGCCAAAAGAGCUUAUAUCUUCAUCACAGUUGGAAGAGUUAAGGUUACAACGCCGACCCACCUUUGUGCCAUUACUUCCAGAAGUAAAUGUCACAAAAUUACAUGACAAGGACACAGGAAUAACUCAAUGUCUUCUUUCAAAUGGAAUUGCUGUAAAUUACAAGAUCUCAAAAAGUGAAUCCCGGGGAGGUGUAAUGCGGCUUAUUGUUGGUGGAGGGCGAGCUGUUGAAAGUUCUGAGUCGAAAGGAGCUGUUAUUGUGGGCGUUCGAACUCUCAGCGAGGGAGGUCGUGUUGGCAACUUUUCAAGGGAGCAGGUAGAACUUUUUUGCGUGAAUCACUUGAUAAAUUGCUCGUUGGAGUCAACAGAGGAAUUCAUAUGUAUGGAGUUCCGUUUUACUUUACGAGAAAAUGGGAUGCGAGCAGCAUUUGAGCUACUUCAUAUGGUGCUUGAGCAUAGCGUUUGGCUGGAAGAUGCAUUUGAUAGAGCAAGACAAUUAUAUUUGUCAUACUACCGGUCCAUUCCCAAAAGCUUGGAACGUGCAACUGCUCACAAACUCAUGAUGGCAAUGUUGAAUGGAGAUGAACGAUUUGUUGAACCAACGCCACUAUCAUUACAAAAUUUAACACUGAAAUCCGUAAAGGAUGCCGUGAUGAAUCAGUUUGUAGGCGGUAACAUGGAGGUAAGCAUUGUUGGGGACUUCUCAGAGGAAGAGAUUGAGUCUUGUAUUAUUGAUUACCUGGGCACAGUUAGAGCAACAAGAGGUUCCAACAGGGAAAAAGAAUUUAGUCGAGUCGUAUUCCGACCAUCGCCAUCUGAUUUACAGUUUCAACAAGUAUUCUUAAAGGAUACAGAUGAGAGAGCAUGUGCAUACAUUGCUGGUCCUGCUCCCAAUCGUUGGGGUUUUACAGUUGAUGGAAAAGACUUGUUUGAGUCAAUUAGUGACUUUUCAGCUGCACCAGUUACACCACCAAAAUCAGAGGACCAAUUGGUAGAAGGGAAGGAUGUUCAGAAAGAUUCACAAAGAAAACUUCGCAGUCAUCCACUUUUUUUUGGCAUAACAAUGGGGCUGCUUGCUGAGAUCAUAAAUUCAAGGCUUUUCACCACAGUCAGAGAUUCUCUUGGAUUAACGUAUGAUGUGUCAUUUGAGUUAAGCCUAUUUGAUAGGCUUAAGCUUGGAUGGUAUGUGAUAUCUGUAACAUCAACUCCAGGCAAGGUAUAUAAAGCUGUUGAUGCAUGUAAGAGUGUUCUAAGAGGGUUGCAUAGCAACAAAAUUGCCCAAAGGGAGUUGGACAGGGCUAAACGUACACUUCUUAUGAGACAUGAAGCUGAAAUCAAGUCAAAUGUCUAUUGGCUUGGAUUGCUAGCUCAUUUGCAAGCUUCUUCAGUUCCCAGGAAGGAAAUUUCAUGUAUUAAAGAUCUCACUUCACUAUAUGAAGCGACCACUAUUGAGGACAUAUAUCUCGCAUAUGAACAGUUGAAGGUGGAUGAGGAUUCUUUAUAUUCAUGCAUUGGGGUAGCUGGCAGUCAAGCUGGUGACGAGAUUACUGCUCCCUUGGAAGUGGAAGAGACAGAUGACAGCUUUCAGGGAACUAUACCUGUAGGGCGUGGUUUAUCUACCAUGACAAGGCCAACAACCUGACCUUCCUGGAUAUCAGUGUGGUUAUCUGCCAUUAAGGUAUGGUGCCUUCCUGGAUUCACUUGUAUGCUUUAUUGGAAACACAGACUUCAGCAUUUCCAUGCAAGUGUUUCAACUGAUGUGUGCCUCCCCUUUCUCACAUUACAAUUAGCUAGCUCGUAAGUGUUAAAAUAAGGUCAUCUGCAUUGUUAAACCUACUUGAAACCAUUGGAAUGGAUAUACACUACAGUGUAGUUGGUGUACAGAUGCUAAUCAUUUAACUACGUGAGAUUCAUAGUUUACACAGAAGCCACUGUCAAAUUGUAAAUUAAAAAAUUGUGUACCGUUUAGAGGCUAUUAUAAAUGAAGCUCUCUCUUGCAUUUAAA